UUGCAUUAAAUAAAACAACAAUGAACACAAUUUUAAACAAUACUUGGUGGUGGAACAAUUUACGUCAAACGUCGUGAACUAAGCUCCUAUGGUAUUUUUUUAAAACUAUAAAUAUAAAAGGCUUGUC
rnacentral:ncRNA from 1 species